rnacentral:lncRNA from 1 species
UCUGGAGGAUUGAGCAAAACCCUAGCUCAUUCCGGAGCUCUACUACAAAAGAAAUGGAUAACCUCACAUCGAUUCUUCCAAAUCAAAGAUUGAUUGGGAUUGGGUGGUAUUGGAAAAUAUCAUAUAUUUUACCAUAACAUUGGUGGUAAUGAAAUUGGGGUAUGAGGAAAAUUUCAACUAAAAUGGAAUUCCCUGAUCUGGUUGAUCAUUCAGGUGAUGUUCCAACAAUGUUUUAUAUAUGCUUCACUUUACAAUGUUUAGACAUUGGAUAUAUGUGAUGUUAUGUUUGGUUGAUUGAUUGAAAUUUAUCCAGUUUUUGGUGCAUUUGGUAGUGGUACUCUCCAAGUGUUUGACAAAAUGUAUAGUUAGAGUAUAACAGUUAGUCUGUUGUUUCAAAUUGGAUAUAUAUGUAAUGUUAUGUUUGGUUGAUUGAUUGAAGUUUAUCGAAGUAUAAGUUUUUGCCUUUUAGGUGCUUUUGGUACUCUCCAAGUGUUUUGACAAAUAUAUAGUUAGAGUAUAACAGUUAGACUGUUGUUUGAUAUUUGGUUGUGAAAAAUCAAAAAAAGAGAUUUUUAGUGCUUUUCAUGUACUCUAGGGUUUAAACAAAUUCAGAACUGUGUUAAAUGUCUAAAUGGGGUACUAAAGGUGACUAUGACUACCAGUGGUUGGGAACUUCGAAUGUCAUGUGCACUUUAGAGUUUAGACUCAUAGGUGCUUCGAGUCUGACUCUCCUUUGUAACUGUUUUGUUGUUUCAUGUUUGCACGAGAGUUGAGAAUUGUAGACUAAUGAGCUGCAUUGUUCUUGAAACUUAUCCUGAUUAAGUUAAUUUGAUUCGACUUCAGAGGUUUCGUUGAUGGUUUUUAUUUUGUCAAACUAAAUGAAUUAUAUGUUUGUUGAAGAUGUACUCUCCUCUCCUCAGACAUACAACAUGGUAAAGUUCUUGGUUAUUUGAUAUUGAGAUGUUCUUAUGUAUAGGGACAAACCAUCACACCAAAGCAGAGCUUGAGUAGCCUCACUGACAGGGCGAAUAUAUCUACAAUUCACUGGUUGCCACCCAUACUGACGACCAUGGCAGAUCAGGAACGCACUAUAGGCACCCACAUUGAUGAGGGAAAUGAGCUGGGGUGGUGGGAGCUAACAAAACGACAACAAGUUUUGACAGCUGUUCCUAAUAUGAUCAUAUUCGGGACACUAUUUCAUCCGGGUGGUUUAUCCCUAUAGCCCAAGGCAGAGUGGGUGACCGCACAGCUACUGAAGAUGACUACGAAUGGUUGGGAUAUGAUGUCCACUUGGAACCCACAGGUGCUUCAAGUCUGACUCUAUUUUGUAACUGCUUUGUUGUUUCAUGUUUGUUUGAGAGUUAAGAAUUAGACUAUGAGCUGAAUUGUUCUUGAAACUUAGCUUUUAUAGCCAUGAUUUUGUUUUUUAUGGAUUUUACUGCAAAAGUUUACGUGAAUGAUGAUGAAUAAAGCUAAAAGAAAAAGAACAAACAAAACAUAAAGAGAACAAUGAACAAGACAUUUUGAAUUUAAUUUUACUUGAAAGGAGUUUGGUUUUUAUUUUGUCUCUGUAUUAGGGCUAGUUUGUUCAAAUUUGUUUUAUAGUCUUCCGUUUGGUGCAUAACUCAUUGUCUCAUUGUGCUAUAAUAACCCAGCUGUAUCACUAUUCUGUGAGUCUUAUUGUUCUUCAAUUAAAUGCCACUAGUGCAUCAAAAAUUAAGAUGAUAGAAUAAAUCAUCUGGGCACUUUUGCAUUACCGGCUACUUGUCCUAUAAAGUAUUGCAUGCAAUGGCGUUGUAAGGAAACCUACUGCUGACAUAAAAUAACCGCAGUCCCAACUCUGAUCCCAUAUGUCAAAAGAGCCUGUCGCACAAUUGCACUGUCAAGCUGCAUGCAACUAUACUAAUUUUUUUUUUCUUACAGUUUGCUACUUAGCUGAUUUGAGAAACAGCUUAAUUAUGUCUGUGCAGAAAAUUACCGAUUCAACCAAUAAUAAGUUAUACCCCCCCGGUGGAGUUAUAACAGUUGGAUAUUGCAUUAUGACCACCAGCUUUGAGGGUUGCACAUCUGGUCAUCCUCACGGUAAUCUUCAAUACUUCUCAGUUCUCAGAUUACUCUUGAACAUCUUGUUAUAGUGGAUCAUGUCCUAGAGACCCAGACAUGGUUUGCUGAUUAUGGCUGCUAGGGGUGAACAGUUGACCUUAUUUUGUAAAGGUGAUAUUACAUGAAGUGAUAGGUAGUGAAAUUGUGGACUUCCCUAUAGGUCGGAUCUGUAUUGUUCAUGUAUAGACCAUGUACUUGCAUACACAUUAUUAUUGAAGUGUAUAAACUCACCUUGAAGUCAUGAUAUUGGAGAGGUUUGCCUCCAUGGGUUUUAUAUAAAUAUAGGUAUAGAAAGUGUAAGUUCCCUAGAAUCGUUUUUGGUUUUAGUAUUGAAAUAGAAAUAUUCCAAAUUUAUUUUGGGAUGAGUGGUAUCGAGAAAACUAUAUGAUAAUCUACUAGUCCCUAUGUUUUAACCCAAGUAUUUCGACUAAUGGAUGCACUGCACAUUCACAAAGCAGAACAACAUCUGCAACAAUCUAAUGGUUGGGUGUUAAAGUUUUUAUGCAUUAUCAUCAGCUUAAUCAAUCGGUCUGUAUUUUCAUUGCGGACUCGCUCACCCCAUUUAUAAACAAAAAGCAAAUACACCAUUUAAUUCAGUAAUUUUAUGAAUUUUUUUUUUUUUUUUUUUUUACUACAAGCAACUUUUGUGAUAUAUCUAGGGGUUAUUUUGUAUUUGGUCCCUCUAGAAGAUUGGCAAUUAGCAUCUGGUCCAGACAUUAUUGUUUAUUAGCAAAUGGUCCCAAAAUCGUUACUUGACUGUCGGUCAACGUAGUUAACUCGAGUCCACACAUCUAUAUUUUUUUAAUAUCAAUACUACCCUUUCACAUGUAUAGCUCGUGCCACCAACUUAAAACUCACACCUAAUUCUAUAUUGUACCAUCCACGUGCCAAUUAAUCUAACUCCAUCUAACGGUCUACAUUGAAACCCCCACAUCUUUAUUUUUUUCUUUUUCUUGUACAAUUUGAUGGUCGACUAAUAGUAACUUGAGUAAGAACUAAUCUUCCAUCUUCUUCUCCAUCCUUCAACAACAUCUAAACCCCUAAGCUUUAAAACAUUUUCUUCUUCUUUUUCUUUAACUCCUUCAUUUUCAUCAAAAAAGCAUUUGUUUCUUUUAUCUAUUCCUGGUUCUGUUACUCUUCUUCUCUUCCCCAUCAUCAAUUUACCUCAUUUUCCAUUGUUUUUCCUGAAUUUGACCCUGUAACUCUUGAAGAGAAAGAUGCCAGUGCUUCUGUGUCGGGACGGGUAUUGAAAGCUAUUGAGUUACUUAAUAAAUGAAGAUAAUUUCAAACUCGUGGUGACUAUACUGGUGCUCUAAAUUAGUUGGAACUUCCUCCACACUUUUUAGUAAUUAAAAUCUUGAUGUUUAUUGAUUGAUGGGGGUGGUUAUAUCUUUUUGACAUCCAAAUCUAUUGCCCAAUGGUCUGGAAUUUUCAUGGUUUACACUCUUUCUACAACAAUAGCCGUAAUAAACUGUUGACUAGGAUUUGAUAAUCAAACAAGGAAUCUGAUCAUCCACUCCAAUUACCAAUUCCUUCUACAGUACCCAUAUAUAAUUUACCAAGAAGAACCAAUUAUCAUCCAUAAAAUUACAAUUCCACCAAGGUUUCUUCAAGUUCUAUUCAAAGGGAAGGGAAGAAACAUGUGAAAAAAGAAGAAGGGCGAGAGAAAUCUGGUACGGUGAUGGGUUUUCAGAUUGAUUGAUUUAAUUUGGAGAAUUGGGGUUUCACUUGAAUUUUGAUGUUUUAAGAAGAAAUUGAUAUUAUCAUACAAUUUCUAAUCGAAGAUUAUUACCCUGACUUCAAUUGAGAUUUAUGGCUCCAUCAAUUGAAAGAGAAGAAAGAUGGGAAAGGAGACAUCAAAGAGAUACAUAACAGUAUAACACCAUUAUAUCUUUCAAUAGUGAUUUAAGUUUUAAGUUUGUUGUCACAUAGAAGGGUAGUAUCGACAUUAAAAAAAUAUGGACGUCUUGACUCGAGUCAACUGUAAUGACUGACAGUCAAGUAACGAUUUUAGGACUAUUUACUAAUAAAUGAUAAAGUUUGGAUUAGAUGCUAAUUACCAAUCUUCUAGAGGGACCAAAUACAAAAUAACCCUAUAUCUAGCCAUCUAGGUUUUAUUUUUUAUUUUUAAUAGUCAAUAUAUAAAUAGAAAACUAAGAGUCUUCCAAAUUACAUGAUAGAGUGUCUCUGUCCAACUGGUUUUGCAUCCAAGUAGGUGGAACCAAAAAGGUAACAGGCCAGAGAGUUUUUAUCUCUUUUACAAGCUAAGAUAUGAGCUAAACAGUUCCCCUCCCUAUUACAAUGCAUAAAAAAAAACUGAAGUGAAAUAAACAGAAUAUCUUUUUGAGCUUAUCAAGGAUGUUGAUUGCAGUCCGGCUUUGUUGAUUGCAAACUUGUAGGUACUCCUAUUAGAUAAUUUGCUGCUGCCAGAUUGUCAAUCUCUAUCUAGGUUAUGUACAUUAUAGAAUGAAUAUUGGUCUUGAACGCUUAAUAAAAAUUUUCGAAAAAGCCGCCGAUUUUAAACUCUAUCAAGAUUUAUGUAUUUUUCUACAUCUUUGUAUUUGAUUAUUGAGUUGUUAUCAAUUAUGUGAGGGCACAAAUUUGAUCAUGAUCCCCAAAAUUAAAAUUUGUAACCUAAUAAAAUUGUGUGUAGAAUAGGCUAUCUAUACAAACGCUUGCCAGUGCAAAAUCAACAAAUGCUUGGUCCAAGUCUGGCCCAGUGAAAGCCUUUUGUGGAAACUGCUACUAUAUUCGAGCUCGAUCCAAUUAGUCAAAAACCAUAAUCCACAUAACAACAAAAACCGUAGCUCAUUCUCAAAUCUCAACAAGUUGUUAAAUCACUUCGAGAAAGAAAGGGUGAUUUAAGUUUUAGUCACCGAACUUUAGUAUAAAUUAGGGUUCCUGACAGACCCAACAAUUAUAGUCCCUGCAACAUACACCUACAACUCUUCCACCAUUACAGUAUUCCAACCAUUCAGCAGAUUGCAAAAUUGUAUCUAUCAAACAAAUCAGAAACAAGAUUCUUGAUUUCGACAAAUAUAGAAGAAAGGUUGGUGGUGGUGGGUGUUAGUAAUCAACAAGGUUGGCGGUGGUUGGGUGUGGUUAGGUUUUUUCUUUGAGCAAGCGAUUAAUUGAAGUUAGUAAUUGAGGUAAUCUUUGAUGCAAGAGGAAGGGGGUGGACCAAGUUUACAACUCCCAUUGAUAAGCUUUUUUAUGUUGGAAUGAAAUUCAAAGUAGAACAAACUUUGAGAGGGCGAGAGCGAUGGUUUGGGGUUUAAUUGGGAGAGUGAAAGAUGAGAAAGAAAAGAAGCCAUAACUACUGGAGUUCUCCCCAUUCAAUUCAUUCAAGUUUUUUUUCAACUUCUUCAAGGUGUUUGAUGAAAUUCCACAAAGAAAAAAAAAUGAUUUUAGAUAGUAUAUAGGGAUGGAGAUUAAACAAGCAAUGGGGUUUGAGUGUACGACGUAUUGCACUAAAUUUAAUGAUAAUGGACGUGAAGUUGUAAUGGAUGAAGAAGAGAGAAGGUGGCGGUCGACAGUGGUGUUAUGGUGUAAUGGACGGUGGUGGUAGUCUGGUAGAUGAGUUGAAGAACAUUUCCAUGGCUUUUUAUUUUUUUAUUUUUUUAUUUUUUUGUUUUUUUGUUUUUUUGUUUUUUUAUUUUUAAAUCAGCAUGUGCAACACUUGUGACCUUUAUAGGGGUAUUUUAGCCAUUUUAAAAUAUUGUUUUAUUUAAUUUCCAGUUGAUCUCUGAACCUUAAUAAAGAAAAAAACCAUCCGUGAACCCUAAUUUAUACUAAAGUUUGGUGACUAAAACCUAAAUCACCCAGAAAGAAAAUCCUAGUUCCCUCAACAGUGAACUCCAACAACAAAAUGGAUGAAAAAGUUUGCAGAAGAUCGAUUGGAGUUAAACUCGAUUCUUCCAAGAAAAAAAUAGAUUAGGGUUGUGUGGUAUCAGAAAAUUUCAUAUAUUUUGUAGUCUUAAUGUAGGUCUUGGAUGGAUUGGAAUACACGUUGCCCCAUCCAGUGCUCACCAUCAUGGGUAAAGUUGUAGAAGGUUGUUUAAACAGAAGAUUUUUUUUUUUUUUUAACAAAAUGUCAUUGGAACAUAAAUUCAUCCAUCACGCUUGAUGAUUAUCCAAUAAUUUCUUUUUUGGGGACAUCAUACAUUGUAAGUAUUCUUUUAACACAUUACACUGUUUUAGUGAUUAGAUAUAUUCAAGGUUAUUUAUGGUUUAUUGAAAUUUAUCAAAUUUUAAGUUUUGGGGUGCCCUGCCUUCCGAGUGUUUGAUAAAAUGUGUAGUUAAGAGUCUAACGGUUAGACUGGUCUGUGAAAUUUGACUUUAGAGUUUUCAUUGAUUGUUCUAGAUUUACUCUCACCUCACAUGUAAUAAGGUUCUUAAUCACUGACAGGGUGAAUGUGAAUCUACUAAUCACUGCUUGCCACCUAAGUUAGUAACCAUGCCAGAUGAGGAUAACAUCAUAGACACCCACAUUGAUAAAGGAAAGGAGAUGGCACGGCGGAAGUUCACUUCAGGAGAACAGUUUGGAUGGUUGUUCAUGAUAUAGUCAUCAUCGGGCUACUUAAUGUCAUUAUCUUAUUGUUAUCUUGGUGUGUUAUGCCCAUACCACAAGGCAGAGUGAGUGACCACACAACUACUGAAGGUGAAUAUGCUUAUGGGUGGUUGGCAACUUGGAAUAUCAUGUUCACUUUAGACCCACAGGUGCUUCAAGUCUGACUCUCCUUUGUAACUGUUUUGUUGUUUCAUGUUUAUAUGAGAGAGAAUUUCAGACUAAUGAGCUGCAUUGUUCCAGAAACUUGGCUUUUAUCAAUACAUUGAUUAGCCAUUAAAGUGUUAUGUGUAUGUGUAUCAUUGCCAAAGCAAAAGAGAACGUUUAAAGCAUUCAUGAUGUGUUGUUAUAUUUUAAUGUU